ACUCCUACGGGAGGCAGCAGUGGGGAAUAUUGGACAAUGGGGGAAACCCUGAUCCAGCCAUGCCGCGUGUGUGAAGAAGGCCUUCGGGUUGUAAAGCACUUUCAGUGGGGAGGAAAGGUUGAUGGUUAAUACCUAUCAGCUGUGACGUUACCCACAGAAGAAGCACCGGCUAACUCCGUGCCAGCAGCCGCGGUAAUACGGAGGGUGCGAGCGUUAUCCGGAUUUAUUGGGUUUAAAGGGUCCGUAGGCGGAUUAAUAAGUCAGUGGUGAAAUCCCAUCGCUUAACGAUGGAACUGCCAUUGAUACUGUUAGUCUUGAAUGAGGGUGCAGUGGUUGGAAUGUGUAGUGUAGCGGUGAAAUGCAUAGAUAUUACACAGAACACCGAUUGCGAAGGCAGAUCACUAACCCUAAAUUGACGCUGAGGGACGAAAGCGUGGGGAGCGAACAGGAUUAGAUACCCUGGUAGUNUACUGU
rnacentral:rRNA from 1 species